CUAAAACAAUAAAAUAAUAAGUGUGGACAUAACCAUGCUCAAUUCAUCAGCUGGGGAUAAUAAAAAUAGCUCCUAAUUGCAUUUUAUACUAUGCCUACCAAAUAGCCUUGGCUUUAAUUUUGAGAGCUCAGGCCUUUGGAUCAUCCAGCUGAACAUACCAGUAGGUAGGGAGUACAUCAGCCUGGAUAGUUAACAAACAAAAAGCUGCUGAUAAGAGGGAAUAUGUUAAUAUUGACGUUUCUAGAAUGGUAUUUUCAAAGGUUUUCUUUUUCUUUUCUUUCUUUUCUUUUUCUUUUUUUCUUUUUUUCUUUUUUUUUUUUUUUUUUUUUCUGAUCUGUUUGCUUGCCUGAGACGAGUUCUCAAGUAUCCCAGGUUAGGCUGGAGCUCACCCUAUGUAGCUACGGAUAGUCUUGAACUCCUGGUCCUCCUGCCUCUGCCCCUCAAAUGCUGAGAUUAUAACCCAUGCCUUUUUAUAUGUACAGAGUUAACUUUUAUUAAUAGAUAACUCUAAGUGUUCUACUGUGGCUUUGAGAAAAAUCUUCCUAUCAGGUACAACAGCCAUUUGCCUUCUGGGCAGAGGGGUCAUGUGUUUGGGUAAGUUAAGGCAGAGCCCUGAACCAAUGACUCACAGGUAGCCAGUUGUGCAAGGAGCAGAACUCUGCAGUAAAUGGGUCUCACACUUCCAGUACAGUGAGCUUGAAGUGAGAAUGGCAUUAAGUCCAUGGCUCUGAGACAAAACUAACCUCAGACUGCCUGAGCACGAGACGGGAUAGCAUGUUUAGGUAGGCUUCCUUUUGCAGAGACAGACAUUCUGGGU
rnacentral:lncRNA from 1 species